rnacentral:rRNA from 1 species
CCUCAGUAGCGGCGAGNGAACAGGGAAGAGCCCAGCACUAAAUCCCGCGGCCGGAGACGGACCGUGGGAAAUGUAGUGUUAGGGAGGAUCCAAUUAUCUCGGUGCGUCGCGGCGAGUUCAAGUCCAUCUUGAAUGGGGCCAUUUACCCAUAGAGGGUGCCAGGCCCGUAGCGACCGUUGCGCGUAUCGAGAGGAUCUCUCCUCAGAGUCGAGUUGCUUGAGAGUGCAGCUCUAAGUGGGUGGUAAACUCCAUCUAAGGCUAAAUAUGACC